rnacentral:rRNA from 1 species
AUUGAACGCUGGCGGCAGGCCUACCACAUGCAAGUCGAACGAGUGGCGGACGGGUGAGUAAUGUCUGGGAAACUGCCCGAUGGAGGGGGAUAAAUACUGGAAACGGUAGCUAAUCCCGCAUACCAUCGGAUGUGCCCAGAUGGGAUUAGAUAGUAGGUGGGGUAACGGCUCACCUAGGCGACGAUCCCUAGCUGGUCUGAGCGGAUGACCAGCCACACUGGAACUGAUACACGGCCCAGACUCCUACGGGAGGCAGCAGUGGGGAAUAUUGCACAAUGGGCGCAAGCCUGAUGCAGCCAUGCCGCGUGUAUGAAGAAGGCCUUCGGGUUGUAAAGUACUUUCAGCGGGGAGGCGUUACCCGCAGAAGAAGCACCGGCUAACUCCGUGCCAGCAGCCGCGGUAAUUC